GCCCCAGGAUCGCUUGUUUUUAUAAAGGGACGUAACACAACUACUAACCGUGUUUUGAAAAAAGUCUGGAAUACUAACGAAAUAAGGAAUAUAAACCAUAUCCAUGCAGUUGCUUUUAACCAAUAAUAAUCCUCGAAAUGUAUAGGAGGUAAGAUAAUGUCGUAUAUCGAUCUUCCAUUACUUUCAUUCUAUACAUUUAAUCAAAAGCAUAAAUAAAAAG
rnacentral:lncRNA from 1 species